GAAGGCUGAAAAGUCCCGAACAUCACUUGACCCUGGCCCAGUGCUGGUAGUAGACUCCAUACUUAAAACCAAAUCCCUGGACAACCUAUUAGCUAACUCAUUAACAAACGGGAAAAUGUCCUGUAUCACAAUCAAUCCCUUUACAUCCUCCCCACCAUCAUACUUGGACAAACCACGUGAUAUUCCCAUAGUCUCCAACAAUGACCCAAGGGUACUUCGGCAAGAGAGAUACAAAGGGUCAUCAUAAGCCACCUUCCUAAGCAACUUACAAAACUCUAAUAC
rnacentral:misc_RNA from 1 species